rnacentral:lncRNA from 1 species
AUAUAACGAGUGAAGAUCAGUUUGCCGUGCUCGCAACAGAUGGGGUUAGUAUGAUCUUAUUCAUUAAUCUUGCCCUUGUGGACAAAUGUUCAAGCAUAGGUAACAAUAUUGCAUUUCUUUUAAGGAUAACAUGGCUGGCUUAAAAUCACUAUGAUUCCAAUUAGGCAACAUCUGUUUGUACUGAUCCACGAAGCACACGGUAUUCAUUUAGAUCAUGUAAAGCAUAGGCCAGGAGGCAAUUUUCGAUUUUGUUGGUUAGGCUUUGAGGGAGGAAAAUUUGACAAUAAGCAGAAACCUGUGAAGCCAGCCGAGUUCAGCCGCUCUUGUUCAAGUAUCUUUAAAAUAUAUGUAAUCAUCACAUAAGCUAUAUGAUCCGUGGGGUGCAAAAAUAUUUUACAUUCGAUAAUAGCCGCCUUAUCUCAGAUGUCUUUACCAUGUACUUUUGUGCCAUAUAUAUGAGCGAACUUUAAUUACGAAAGAUUGAUACUGAUAUUGAAUUCUGUGUUUGAUGGAACGAAGGUAUGGGACGUUAUAUCGAACGAAGAAGCGGUGGAAAUUGUGUCAUCAACUGAAGACAGAGGAAACUCAGCUAAAUGUCUUGUGAAGUGUGCUGCCCAUUUAUGGAAGAAGAAGAGAAAGGAAAUAGCAGUGGAUGAUAUAUCAGCUAUUGUACUCUUCUUUCAUUCUUCUUCUUCUUCUUCUUCUUUAUGUGAUCAAGUUUACCCUGAUGUAUCUUCACGAAAGUAACUAAUUCUGACAAAGGAUUGUUGAAAAUUAACUGCAUUUAUGUAAUCUCUCCCUCUUCCUCUAUUACUCGCAGCAAAAUCACUACAAUUAG